UACGAAGGGAGCUAGCGUUGUUCGGAAUCACUGGGCGUAAAGCGCACGUAGGCGGAUUUGUCAGUCAGGGGUGAAAUCCCGGGGCUCAACCUCGGAACUGCCUUUGAUACAGCAAGUCUUGAGUUCGAGAGAGGUGGGUGGAAUUCCUAAUGUAGAGGUGAAAUUCGUAGAUAUUAGGAAGAACACCGGUGGCGAAGGCGGCCCACUGGCUCGAUACUGACGCUGAGGUGCGAAAGCGUGGGGAGCAAACAGG
rnacentral:rRNA from 1 species